rnacentral:tRNA from 1 species
GGUUUUAUGGUGUAGUUGGUUAUCACGUGAGUUUAACACACUCAAGGUCUCCGGUUCAAGUCCGGGUGAAAUCA